rnacentral:rRNA from 1 species
GACGAACGCUGGCGGCGUGCUUAACACAUGCAAGUCGAACGAUGAAGCUGGAGCUUGCUCCGGUGGAUUAGUGGCGAACGGGUGAGUAACACGUCAGCAAUCUGCCCUUGACUCUGGGAUAACUGCGGGAAACUGUAGCUAAUACCAGAUACUUUUACUGGAAGGCAUCUUCUGGUGAAGAAAGAAUUUCGGUCAAGGAUGAGCUCGCGGCCUAUCAGCUUGUUGGUGAGGUAACGGCUCACCAAGGCGACGACGGGUAGCCGGCCUGAGAGGGUGACCGGCCACACUGGGACUGAGACACGGCCCAGACUCCUACGGGAGGCAGCAGUGGGGAAUAUUGCACAAUGGGCGCAAGCCUGAUGCAGCAACGCCGCGUGAGGGAUGAAGGCCUUCGGCUUGUAAACCUCUUUUAGCAGGGAAGAAGCGAAAGUGACGGUACCUGCAGAAAAAGCACCGGCUAACUACGUGCCAGCAGCCGCGGUAA